rnacentral:rRNA from 1 species
UACAGAGGGCUCGAGCGUUGCGCGGAAUCACUGGGCUUAAAGAGUGCGCAGGUGGACCCGUAAGUACUUUGUGAAAUCCCACGGCUCAACCGUGGAAUUGCUUGGUAUACUGCGGGUCUUGAGGUCGGUAGAGGUUGUCGGAACUCUAGGUGGAGCGGUGAAAUGCGUAGAUAUCUAGAGGAACGCCGAAGGUGAAGACAGGCAACUGGACCGAUUCUGACGCUCAUGCACGAAAGCGUGGGUAGCGAACGGG